AUAAAAAGGACGUCGCCAUGUUUUGACGGUCUUCCUGCAGACGGUUCCCUAGCGUUCGUCUUCUCAUCUCGGCAUGAGAGCUAAGUGGAGGAAGAAGCGCAUGCGCAGACUGAAGCGUAAAAGGAGGAAGAUGAGGCAGAGGUCCAAGUAGGCUGUUUUCUCCGCCAUGGCUGUGGCAGCACAUGUGGUGAAACAAGCAGCCCGGUGAGCAGCAGCUGAAGACCCAGGCCAGGACCCUCCCGGUGUGAAGUCUGUCAGUUGGGCUCAUCCUAACAACAGGAGCCCAUCCCAACACGAGGCCGAGGAGCUGCAGCAGCUGACACAUGCUGGAGCGCUGAUUGAAGACUUGCUGGAUAACAGGCUUUUCCUCGGGGACAUUCUGGACUCAUUGUUCUUAAUUCCUCAACUUUUGUUUAUACUGUGAUUAAAGGUUUUGGUUUCUAAAUAA